AGUUGAAAAACAAUAUAUCCGUAGACCGUAGGUGCGAGAGCGUAACGAUUACUACCUACCGAGGAUCCAUAACAUAGAUUAAUGUGUGGUCUUCUUGCGUCUGCGGGAAGGCCUUUGUUUUAUAGA
rfam:Clostridium cadaveris strain NLAE-zl-G419 genome assembly, contig: Ga0070261_139